rnacentral:tRNA from 1 species
GAGGGUAUAUCUCAGUGGUAGAGUGCCUGCUUAGCAUAUACGAGGUCUUGGGUUCAAUCCCUAGUACUUCCA